rnacentral:rRNA from 1 species
UACGUAGGGUGCGAGCGUUAAUCGGAAUUACUGGGCGUAAAGCGUGCGCAGGCGGUUUUGUAAGCCAGAUGUGAAAUCCCCGGGCUUAACCUGGGAAUGGCAUUUGGGACUGCAAGGCUCGAGUGCGGCAGAGGAGACUGGAAUUCCUGGUGUAGCAGUGAAAUGCGUAGAUAUCUGGAGGAAUACCGGUGGCGAAGGCGGAUCUCUGGGCCUUACCUGACGCUGAGGCGCGAAAGCUAGGGGAGCGAACAGG